rnacentral:rRNA from 1 species
GCCUGGGAGUACGGCCGCAAGGUGAAACUCAAAGGAAUUGACGGGACCCGCACAAGCGGUGGAUGAUGUGGUUUAAUUCGAUGCAACGCGAAAAACCUUACCUACCCUUGACAUGCCUGGAAUCCUGCAGAGAUGUGGGAGUGCUCGAAAGAGAACCAGGACACAGGUGCUGCAUGGCCGUCGUCAGCUCGUGUCGUGAGAUGUUGGGUUAAGUCCCGCAACGAGCGCAACCCUUGUCAUUAGUUGCUACGAAAGGGCACUCUAAUGAGACUGCCGGUGACAAACCGGAGGAAGGUGGGGAUGACGUCAGGUCCUCAUGGCCCUUAUGGGUAGGGCUACACACGUCAUACAAUGGCCGGUACAGAGGGCUGCCAACCCGCGAGGGGGAGCUAAUCCCAGAAAACCGGUCGUAGUCCGGAUCGCAGUCUGCAACUCGACUGCGUGAAGUCGGAAUCGCUAGUAAUCGCGGAUCAGCUUGCCGCGGUGAAUACGUUCCCGGGUCUUGUACACACCGCCCGUCACACCAUGGGAGCGGGUUCUGCCAGAAGUAGUUAGCCUAACCGCAAGGAGGGCGCNUACCACGGCAGGGUUCGUGACUGGGGUGAAGUCGUAACAAGGUAGCCGUAUCGGAAGGUGCGGCUGGAUCACCUCCUU